AAUCAACGCUGGCGGCGUGCCUAACACAUGCAAGUCGAACGCGAAAGCCCCGCAAGGGGCAAGUAGAGUGGCAAACGGGUGAGUAACGCGUGGGUGACCUACCUUCGAGUGGGGGAGUAACGUUCCGAAAGGGACGCUAAUACCGCAUGACAUCCUGCCUUUGAAGAGGCGGUAAUCAAAGCCUGGGACCGCAAGGCCAGGCGCUUGAAGAGGGGCCCGCGUCCGAUUAGCUAGUUGGGGGGUAACGGCUCACCAAGGCUUCGAUCGGUAGCCGGCCUAAGAGGGCGGACGGCCACACUGGGACUGAGACACGGCCCAGACUCCUACGGGAGGCAGCAGUGGGGAAUUGUUCGCAAUGGGCGCAAGCCUGACGACGCAACGCCGCCGUGGAGGAUGAAGAAUCUUCGGGUCGUAAACUCCUGUCGAGCGGGACGAAU
rnacentral:rRNA from 1 species